rnacentral:rRNA from 1 species
GAUGAACGCUAGCGGCAGGCCUAAUACAUGCAAGUCGAACGGUGUCUUCGGACAUAGUGGCGCACGGGUGCGUAACACGUAUGCAACCUACCUUACAUUGGGGGAUAGCCUUUCGAAAGGGAGAUUAAUACCGCAUAAGACAGUAGCUGGGCAUCCAGCAGCUGUUAAAGAUUUAUCGAUGUAAGCUGGGCAUGCGUCCGAUUAGCGAGUUGGUGAGGUAACGGCUCACCAAGGCAAUGAUUGGUAGGGGAACUGAGAGGUCAAUCCCCCACCCUGGCACUGAGAUACGGGCCAGACUCCUACGGGAGGCAGCAGUAGGGAAUAUUGGGCAAUGGACGCAAGUCUGACCCAGCCAUGCCGCGUGCAGGAUGAAGGCGUUAUGCGUUGUAAACUGCUUUUAUACAGGAAGAAACGACUCUUGCGAGAGGCAUUGACGGUACUGUAUGAAUAAGCACCGGCUAACUCCGUGCCAGCCGCCGCGGUAAGAC